CUUGGUGGCGACCGGCGCACGGGUGAGUAACGCGUAUGCAACUUACCUAUCAGAGGGGGAUAGCCCGGCGAAAGUCGGAUUAAUACCCCAUGAAACAGGGGUCCCGCAUGGGAAUAUUUGUUAAAGAUUCAUCGCUGAUAGAUAGGCAUGCGUUCCAUUAGGCAGUUGGCGGGGUAACGGCCCACCAAACCGACGAUGGAUAGGGGUUCUGAGAGGAAGGUCCCCCACAUUGGUACUAAGACACGGACCAA
rnacentral:rRNA from 1 species